rnacentral:rRNA from 1 species
UGGGGAAUAUUGGACAAUGGGAGAAACCCUGAUCCAGCAAUGCCGCGUGAGUGAAGAAGGCCUUAGGGUUGUAAAGCUCUUUCGCCCGCGAAGAUAAUGACGGUAGCGGGAGAAGAAGCCCCGGCUAACUCCGUGCCAGCAGCCGCGGUAAUACGGAGGGGGCUAGCGUUGUUCGGAAUUACUGGGCGUAAAGCGUACGUAGGCGGAUGCGCAAGUUGGGGGUGAAAUCCCGGGGCUUAACCUCGGAAUUGCCCUCAAAACUGCACGUCUUGAGACCGAGAGAGGUAAGGGGAAUUUCUAGUGUAGAGGUGAAAUUCGUAGAUAUUAGGAAGAACACCAGUGGCGAAGGCGCCUUACUGGCUCGGUACUGACGCUGAGGUACGAAAGCGUGGGGAGCAAACA